rnacentral:rRNA from 2 species
CCAAGCUACUAAGGGCAUACGGUGGAUGCCUUGGUGCCAGGAGCCGAUGAAGGACGUGGUAGGCUGCGAAAAGCUUCGGGGAGCCGCCUAACAGGCUUUGAUCCGGAGAUGUCCGAAUGGGGGAACCCACCGGUGGUAAUGCGCCGGUACCCACGCCUGAACACAUAGGGCGUGAGGAGGUAAGCGGGGGAACUGAAACAUCUAAGUACCCCGAGGAAAAGAAAGCAAGCGCGAUUCCCCGAGUAGCGGCGAGCGAAACGGGAACAGCCUAAACUCAACGGAUGCAUAAGCUCACAGGCGUUGUCCGUUGAGGGUCGUAGGACCUGCCUGGUGUCGCUGUGGAGACACCAGGGAGUUACAAAGUCUAUUUCUAGUCGAGAGAUUCUGGAAAGAUCUGCCAUAGAGGGUAACAGCCCCGUAGGCGAAAGGAAUAGGCCUCCCGGCAGGGAUCCUGAGUACGGCGGGACCGGAGAAAUCCCGUCGGAAUCUGCGGGCACCACCCCGCAAGGCUAAAUACUCCCUGGCAACCGAUAGUGAACUAGUACCGUGAGGGAAAGGUGAAAAGUACCCCGGGAGGGGAGUGAAAUAGUACCUGAAACCGUAUGCUUACAAACCGUCAGAGCGGGUAAUUCCGUGAUGGCGUGCUUUUUGUAGAACGAGCCGGCGAGUUACCGGUACGCAGCAAGGUUAAGGGAUAUACCCGGAGCCGAAGCGAAAGCGAGUCUUAAUAGGGCGUUUUAGUUGCGUGCCGUAGACCCGAAGCCGAGUGAUCUAUCCAUGGGCAGGUUGAAGCGAGGGUAAGACCUCGUGGAGGACCGAACCCACUUCGGUUGAAAACGGAGGGGAUGACCUGUGGAUAGGGGUGAAAGGCCAAUCAAACUCGGAGAUAGCUGGUUCUCCCCGAAAUAGCUUUUGGGCUAGCCUCAGGUGUUUUGCAUUGGUGGUAGAGCACUGAUUGGACUAGGGGCCUUCACCGGUUACCAAACCCAGUCAAACUCCGAAUGCCAAUGCUUUAGAGCCUGGGAGUCAGACUACGGGGGAUAAGCUCCGUGGUCGAGAGGGAAACAGCCCAGACCGCCAGCUAAGGUCCCUAAAUUCGUGCUAAGUGGGAAAGGAUGUGAAACCGCCCAGACAGCCAGGAUGUUGGCUUAGAAGCAGCCACCAUUUAAAGAGUGCGUAACAGCUCACUGGUCAAGUGGUCUCGCGCCGAUAAUGUAGCGGGGCUCAAGCACGACACCGAAGCUGCGGCAUUUUGCCUUCGGGCAAGAUGGGUAGGGGAGCAUUCCUUGGGGAGUGAAGUUGACCCGUAAGGGUUUCCCAUUUAUAGGUUUCCUAUCAAUGGGAUUUAUCGAUGGACCGCAAGGAAGAGAGAAUGCCGGCAUGAGUAGCGAAAGACGGGUGAGAAACCCGUCCGCCGAAUGCCCAAGGGUUCCUGGGGAAGGUUAAUCCACCCAGGGUCAGUCGGGACCUAAGGCGAGGCCGAAAGGCGUAGUCGAUGGACAACCGGUUUAUAUUCCGGUACCACCAUGUUAAUCAUUUAGAAAUGGGAGGACGCGGAAGGAUAAGCGAACCGCGGCGCUGGUAGACCGCGGGUAAACGUGUAGGGCGCUGCCGAGUUAAAUGCUUGGCGGCAUUAAGCCUGAGGCGUGAUGCCGACCCGCUUAUAGGGGAAGUCGCCGAAUCCAUGCCGCCUAGAAAAGUCCCUAUCUAGUUAACGUGGUGCCCGUACCCCAAACCGACACAGGUGGGCGAGUAGAGAAUACUAAGGCGAUCGAGAUAACCCUCGUUAAGGAACUCGGCAAAUUAGCCCCGUAACUUUGGGAGAAGGGGCGCCCUGAUAACGUAAGGGGAUUUACUCCCUAAGCGUGAGAGGGCCGCAGUGAAUAGGCCCAAGCGACUGUUUACUAAAAACACAGGUCUCUGCUAAGUCGUAAGACGACGUAUAGGGGCUGACGCCUGCCCGGUGCCGGAAGGUUAAGGGGAAGGGUUAGCGGCUUCGGCCGCGAAGCUCUGAACCUAAGCCCCGGUGAACGGCGGCCGUAACUAUAACGGUCCUAAGGUAGCGAAAUUCCUUGUCGGGUAAGUUCCGACCUGCACGAAUGGCGUAACGACUUGGGCGCUGUCUCAACGAGGGACUCGGCGAAAUUGCAUUGCCCGUGAAGAUGCGGGCUACCUGCAGCAAGACGGAAAGACCCCGUGAACCUUUACUGUAGCCUGAUAUUGGGCUUUGGUUCAUCAUGUGCAGGAUAGGUGGGAGGCUUUGAAGCGGGGACGCUAGUUCUCGUGGAGCCGUCCUUGGGAUACCACUCUUGAUGUGCUGGGGCUCUAACCGACAACCGUUAUCCGGUUGCGGGACAGUGUCAGGUGGGCAGUUUGACUGGGGCGGUCGCCUCCUAAAAUGUAACGGAGGCGCCCAAAGGUUCCCUCAAGCUGGUUGGCAAUCAGCUGUAGAGUGUAAGGGCAGAAGGGAGCUUAACUGCGAGACUCACAAGUCGAGCAGGUGCGAAAGCAGGGCCUAGUGAUCCGGCGGCUUCAUGUGGGAGAGCCGUCGCUCAACGGAUAAAAGGUACUCCGGGGAUAACAGGCUUAUCUCCCCCAAGAGUCCAUAUCGACGGGGAGGUUUGGCACCUCGAUGUCGGCUCAUCGCAUCCUGGGGCUGGAGUAGGUCCCAAGGGUUGGGCUGUUCGCCCAUUAAAGCGGUACGCGAGCUGGGUUUAGAACGUCGUGAGACAGUAAGGGAAUUGCUGUCUAUAAAUUCGGCUAAAUGCUGGAAACCCUGAGAAUGUCAGACUACUCGGUUGCAAUGAAUGUGUAAAAAAGCACUAAUCGUUGGAGCCAGUGAAAAUGUCAUGACUGCAGACAACCAGCAGGAAAGGCUAGAUGCCUAUUUAGCAGGGUACGCUGACGGGGAAGGAAGCUUCCACGUCGCGGUGGAGCGGAAUCCCAGUUGCCAAUUAGGGAUUCAGCUGGUUCCGGAAUUCCAUGUAAGCCAGAAUGAAGAGCGAAGCUCGGUUCUGGAGAGGAUGAAGGAACGGUUGGGAUGCGGAUAUAUCAAGCCCAACCACCGGUUGAGAUCGAAUGAUCGAUCUCGGUCUUCGUGGUGCGCAACUGCGAGGAUUUGACGAGGAAAGUAAUUCCAUUCUUCCAGCGCAACCCGCUUCUUUUGUCCAAGCAAGAUGACUUCACCAAGUUCAGCGCGAUCGUGAUAGCGCUGGGGAGGGGAGAGCAUCGGACAAAGGAAGGAUUGGCUGGCUUGCUAGAGAUAGUGUUCUCCGUGAAUGGUGGAGGACGGUAUCGAAGAGCGAGUCUCGGAGAGAUACUCUCUGGUCUAGAAUCCUCAGAGACUAUACGCCGAACAUCCCGAUCAGGGGAUGAAGAUAUAGUCCGAGCUGCAUGGCGACAUGCAGAGUCCGGCAGAAAUGACCGGACCCUCGAAUCGGCCGGCAACGCCGAUCGGGAGUAACAAAACUGUCGGUCCCUAUCUGCUGCAGGCGUAGGAGAAUUGAGGGAAUUUGCCCCUAGUACGAGAGGACCGGGGUGAACAGACCUCUGGUGUGCCAGUUGUUCUGCCAAGAGCACUGCUGGUUAGCCACGUCUGGAUCAGAUAACCGCUGAAAGCAUCUAAGCGGGAAACUGACCCCAAGAUCAGUUCUCCCACCGGGAAACCGGGUAAGACCCCUUGAAGAACACAAGGUUGAUAGGCCGGAAGUGGAAGCACGGCAACGUGUGGAGCUGACCGGUACUAAUAGGUCGAGGGCUUGGU